GGAGAGGUGUCCGAGCUGGCCGAAGGAGCACGACUGGAAAUCGUGUAUGCCGUAAGGCAUCCAGGGUUCAAAUCCCUGCCUCUCCGCCA
rnacentral:tRNA from 1 species